rnacentral:rRNA from 1 species
AACGCUAGCUACAGGCUUAACACAUGCAAGUCGAGGGGCAGCAUGGUCUUAGCUUGCUAAGGCCGAUGGCGACCGGCGCACGGGUGAGUAACACGUAUCCAACCUGCCGUCUACUCUUGGACAGCCUUCUGAAAGGAAGAUUAAUACAAGAUGGCAUCAUGAGUCCACAUGUUCACAUGAUUAAAGGUAUUCCGGUAGACGAUGGGGAUGCGUUCCAUUAGAUAGUAGGCGGGGUAACGGCCCACCUAGUCUUCGAUGGAUAGGGGUUCUGAGAGGAAGGUCCCCCACAUUGGAACUGAGACACGGUCCAAACUCCUACGGGAGGCAGCAGUGAGGAAUAUUGGUCAAUGGGCGAGAGCCUGAACCAGCCAAGUAGCGUGAAGGAUGACUGCCCUAUGGGUUGUAAACUUCUUUUAUAAAGGAAUAAAGUCGGGUAUGCAUACCCGUUUGCAUGUACUUUAUGAAUAAGGAUCGGCUAACUCCGUGCCAGCAGCCGCGGUAAUACGGAGGAUCCGAGCGUUAUCCGGAUUUAUUGGGUUUAAAGGGAGCGUAGAUGGAUGUUUAAGUCAGUUGUGAAAGUUUGCGGCUCAACCGUAAAAUUGCAGUUGAUACUGGAUAUCUUGAGUGCAGUUGAGGCAGGCGGAAUUCGUGGUGUAGCGGUGAAAUGCUUAGAUAUCACGAAGAGCUCCGAUUGCGAAGGCAGCCUGCUAAGCUGCAACUGACAUUGAGGCUCGAAAGUGUGGGUAUCAAACAGGAUUAGAUACCCUGGUAGUCCACACGGUAAACGAUGAAUACUCGCUGUUUGCGAUAUACUGCAAGCGGCCAAGCGAAAGCGUUAAGUAUUCCACCUGGGGAGUACGCCGGCAACGGUGAAACUCAAAGGAAUUGACGGGGGCCCGCACAAGCGGAGGAACAUGUGGUUUAAUUCGAUGAUACGCGAGGAACCUUACCCGGGCUUAAAUUGCAGAUGAAUUACGGUGAAAGCCGUAAGCCGCAAGGCAUCUGUGAAGGUGCUGCAUGGUUGUCGUCAGCUCGUGCCGUGAGGUGUCGGCUUAAGUGCCAUAACGAGCGCAACCCUUGUUGUCAGUUACUAACAGGUUCUGCUGAGGACUCUGACAAGACUGCCAUCGUAAGAUGUGAGGAAGGUGGGGAUGACGUCAAAUCAGCACGGCCCUUACGUCCGGGGCUACACACGUGUUACAAUGGGGGGUGCAGAGGGCCGCUACCACGCGAGUGGAUGCCAAUCCCAAAAACCUCUCUCAGUUCGGACUGGAGUCUGCAACCCGACUCCACGAAGCUGGAUUCGCUAGUAAUCGCGCAUCAGCCACGGCGCGGUGAAUACGUUCCCGGGCCUUGUGCACACCGCCCGUCAAGCCAUGGGAGCCGGGGGUACCUGAAGUGCGUAACCGCGAGGAGCGCCCUAGGGUAAAACUG